rnacentral:piRNA from 1 species
UGCACUACCAUAUCUAGUCUAUGUGGUACUG